AACGCACAUUGCGCCCUUUGGUAUUCCGAAGGGCAUGCCUGUUCGAGCGUCAUUAUAACCACUCAAGCCUUCGCUUGGUAUUGGGGUUCGCGGUUCCGCGGCCUCUAAAAUCAGUGGCGGUGCCUGUCGGCUCUACGCGUAGUAAUACUCCUCGCGUCUGGGUCCGGUAGGUUGCUUGCCAACAACCCCCAAAUUUUUUACAGGUUGACCUCGGAUCAGGUAGGGAUACCCGCUGAACUUAA
rnacentral:misc_RNA from 2 species